rnacentral:rRNA from 1 species
ACUCAAAGGAAUUGACGGGGGCCCGCACAAGCGGUGGAGCAUGUGGUUUAAUUCGAUGCAACGCGAAGAACCUUACCUACCCUUGACAUCUAGCCAAUUUAGCUGAGAGGCUGAAGUGCCUUCGGGCAAGCUAAGACAGGUGCUGCAUGGCUGUCGUCAGCUCGUGUCGUGAGAUGUUGGGUUAAGUCCCGUAACGAGCGCAACCCUUGUACCUAGUUGCCAGCACGUAAUGGUGGGAACUCUAGGUAGACUGCUGGUGAUAAACCGGAGGAAGGUGGGGAUGACGUCAAGUCCUCAUGGCCUUUAUGGGUAGGGCUACACACGUGCUACAAUGGGCAGUACAGAGGGAAACGAAGCUGAGAAGCGGAGUGAAUCUCAAAAAACUGUUCGUAGUCCGGAUAGGAGUCUGCAACUCGACUCCUUGAAGUCGGAAUCGCUAGUAAUCGCGGAUCAGCAUUGCCGCGGUGAAUACGUUCUCGGGCCUUGUACACACCGCCCGU